rnacentral:tRNA from 1 species
AUUGUUUUAAGAAAGUAUUCUGUUAAUUUUCAAAGUUAAAAGUGUUGAAAAGAUUU